CGCGCCCCGCGACCCCAGCCUGGCGUUUGAAGCUAUGCAAGUGACUGGUCUGCAGAAUCGGUGAUUCCCCGUCGCGCUGACCUCACCACGAGUGUCCGCAUGGCAGAGAUGUGGCCGCGAGUGUCAGCGCUUCUGCUGUGACUCCAGCUCCUGAGUGCAUCUGAACGCAGGAGGCAGACACCGCUGGAUUUCAAGAGGGCCAGCCUUGCUUUGCGCCACAGUGCACGCCCAUGCCUGCCUCCCCCGUGGCCCAGCUCUGAAUGUUGGCGUAUGUUUUGGCACUGAUGGACAAGAGAAACACCGUGUUGGCAUCAAGUGAGGCCUGACAUCACUUCCCAAGGGUAUAGACCUUAUGUCUUCUCCUUUCUGAAAAUUGCCCCCUUGUAAUUUUUACUAUGAUGAUGUGUCUCUUUUUCUCAUUAAAUGAUAGGAAACUUGGUAUUUGCACAUAACUCAAAAUAUAAUUUAAUUUCUUCUUGGCAAGGUUCAUAGUAUAACAUCUUAAAAAGUGUACUAGGUAUCCCAUUUGGUCACCUUUUGGACUUGAUUUACCUAAAGGGCUCAUAGGGAUCAGACAUAAGCAAAAUAUUGAACAGCAUUUUUUUUUUUUUUUUGAGAACUUUAGAAGACUAGGUGAGGAACUGGCUGGAGACGUUAGUAAAUGAACCCUCUGCUCCGCAAAGUGUUGAAUUAAGCAGUCUGUUGACUUUAAGGUUACCUUGGAGAUAGACCACAGAAUUUAAAAUGCAGUCACUCAAAAAGCAAAAUUGCUUGGGAAUAAAAGGCAAUAAUUACUAUUACUCUUUCUGCAACUAGAGAGAGAGAGAGAGAGAAAAAAAGACAACUCCCACUCCAAACCUUGAAACCUCAGCAGAUACCUGGAGACUCUUGAAAUGGUGUUUUGUGAUCAAAGUCACAGUCCUUAGGGUAAGCAAACUGCAGGCUCCCUCUCGCUGUGUGUUUUUAAACCUGAGCUACUUUGAUUGCUUUUCUGUCUAAACACAAUAAACACCCUUGACCUUGAAUUAUACCGUUAGGAGAUAAAAAUCUGGUCUC